CAGCAGAAAAGCCAGCAGCUUUGUCUUCUAGAGACAAGCUCAGCCCUGUUCAGCAUGCAAAAAGAACAGUAUCAAGAGCCCAGAGAUGAUCCUGUUACACUUCCAAUAUCGUGUUCACUUCUCAGGCCUGUGGUUUCAGGUGCUAUCACAGGAUCAUGAAAUUCCGGUGAGAAUUGAAUGUGAUCAUCUGUGUGAAACACAGGCCACAGUAUGCAAUCCUGCCUAAGAGAUCAGCAAAUACCAUCCAUGUCAUCACCAUGACCACCACCACUACCAUCAUGUCAUCCACUACCAAUAUCAUCAUAGCCUAUGUCAUCAUCACACCACCACCACCAUCAUCAUCAUCACUUUAAACCACCACCACCAUCAUCAUUAUCACCAUCAUCAUCAUCUGUGGUCUUUCUUCACUCAAAUUAUACUUGUUCCAUGUCUUUCUCCUUCCUGACACCAUUCUCUAAUACUGGUCUGUAAAAUAUUCAUGUCACAAGCAGAUUUGGAUAUUGUUAGGACUAAAAUGAAAUAUUGUGGUCAGUAUUAGUUUUUUUUUUUUUUGCCUUGAGGACAUUUCAAAACUCAACGGGAAGGCAUAAAGACAGUACAUAUUUAUUUCACUGUUCUUUGUUCCCAGUGCAAGGUUUAAUAUGUCAGGAACAUGCUAAAUUCUGUGUUGUUUGUUUUUGACAAAUAAAGGGUUUAUAAAACUUUUCCAAUUGGCAAACCAAGGUAGCACUACUUCUUCAUAGAAGGUGGUUUCUAUUCUGUUUGAAACAUGAAUCAGGGCAGCUACUCUAGUGUGGAAUUACUCUAAUCUAAUGUGGAGGCAAGAGCAUCCGGAAGCAUCUAACCACAGUGCCCUGUGGUGCUGCCUUGGUCUGGAUGUGAGCAGCAGGGUGCACAUGGCUUUGCCCUGACUGAGUCUCACAUCUGGACAUAUGUUGUCUUUAGAUCGACACUUCAGAAAAAUUCAUUCUAUUUGGUUUAAACAGAAGAGGAAAAUAAAGUAGUGUCUUAGUCACUGCUCUGUUGCUGUGAAGAGAUGCCAUGAUUAAGGCAACCCUUAGAACAGAAAGCAUUUGACUGGGGGCUUGCCUACCGUGUCAGAGGUUUAGUUCAUUGUCAUCUUCAGAACAUAGUCCAAGAAUGGAGUCCUUUAACAAUUCUGAAUGCUUAUGAAAAAUUCCAAGAAAACAAGAUCUUGUGAUCUCAGUUUCUUCAAAAACAAAAACUUGUUCUUGGGAUGCUCUUUCAUGCCCCUUCUAGAUGUAUCGAACAGGAGUGAUUCCACUUUAGAUUACACAUUACCCUUGGCUAUUGUUAUUUGUUUAUAUGGCUCUAUGGAAAACAUGUUUUUGCCAAUUGUGUUCUGCCCUUGUGAUUGAACACCUUACUCAUGAUUCAUCUUAACCCUUGUGGUAUAAAUUGCCAGAUGCUCUGAAUAAAGUUGGCUAUUGCAUGA